rnacentral:rRNA from 1 species
GACGAACGCUGGCGGCGUGCUUAACACAUGCAAGUCGAACGGAGAGGCCCUGCUUUUGUUGGGUUCUCGAGUGGCGAACGGGUGAGUAACACGUGAGUAACCUGCCCUUGACUUUGGGAUAACUUCAGGAAACUGGGGCUAAUACCGGAUAUGAGCUCCUGCUGCAUUGUGUGGGUUGGAAAGUUUCUGCUGUUGGGGAUUGACUCGCGGCUUAUCAGCUUGUUGGUUGGGUAGUGGCUUACCAAGGCUUUGACGGGUAGCCGGCCUGAGAGGGUGAACGGCCAAAAUGGGACUGAGAUACGGACCAGACUCCUACGGGAGGCAGCAGUGGGGAAUAUUGCACAAUGGGAGGAAGCCUGAUGCAGCAAAGCCGCGUGCGGGAUGACGGCCUUCGGGUUGUAAACAGCUUUCGCCUGUGACGAAGAGUGAGUGACGGUAAUGGGUAAAGAAGCACCGGCUAACUACGUG